UCCCUACGGGGGGCAGCAGUGAGGAAUAUUGGUCAAUGGGCGCGAGCCUGAACCAGCCAAGUCGCGUGAGGGAAGACGGUCCUAUGGAUUGUAAACCUCUUUUGUCGGGGAGCAAAAGACGCCACGCGUGGCGUUCCGAGAGUACCCGAAGAAAAAGCAUCGGCUAACUCCGUGCCAGCAGCCGCGGUAAUACGUAGGGGGCAAGCGUUAUCCGGAUUUACUGGGUGUAAAGGGAGCGUAGACGGCAUGGCAAGCCAGAUGUGAAAUACCGGGGCUCAACCCCGGGACUGCAUUUGGAGCUGUUA
rnacentral:rRNA from 1 species